rnacentral:rRNA from 1 species
UACGGGGGGGGCAAGCGUUGUUCGGAAUUACUGGGCGUAAAGGGCUCGUAGGUGGCCAACUAAGUCAUACGUGAAAUCCCUCGGCUCAACCGAGGAACUGCGUCUGAUACUGGUUGGCUUGAAUUCGGGAGAGGGAUGCGGAAUUCCUGGUGUAGCGGUGAAAUGCGCAGAUAUCAGGAGGAACACCGGUGGCGAAGGCGGAUCUCUGGGCCUGUCCUGACGCUGAGGCGCGAAAGCUAGGGGAGCGAACAGG